GUGACAGAGAGUUGAAACCAAACCAGAUGGCUGUAUUCAUUAGAGUGGAUGGAGUCAUCAGCCUCUCACUGUGUCUCUUCACAGCGCUUCCAUUCAGAGAAUCCAUCCCACUGGCAAUGGGCUGGAUCUGAUGUGGGAUGAAUCUAGAGAUCAGGAUUCUGGUGUUCCUGCCAGUAUCGUAUUCAUGCUACCAGCUGGAUCCCACCAGAUGUGUCUAUAACAAAUCAUAAACACAGCCAUUGACUGCUGGUUCAGAUUCAUAAACCUAGCAAUUGACUGCUGGUUGACUGCUGCUCAGAUCCCUAUAGUGGAGGGAUUAACUGGUGACUCAAAAUGCUAACCAGGGCGAUUGACUGCUGCUUGGAUUCAUAAGCUCCAUGAUUGACUGCUGUUGGCACAAUUGCUACCACCGGAGUCGGUGGCAAUUGACAAACGAUGGUGGGAGCAGCACCGGCCGGCGGCGAGGGAAAUUACCCAGCCCUAUCGGAGGCCGCUGGUAAUCAUUCCACAUGCCUUACACAUCUCUCUCUGGGACUUUUUACUGCCACACUCAAUCACAGGCCUAGAGAUAAUACUACAGAACAAUUACAGUAGAGGACAUUAUGUGGAUUCCCUGCAUUUGAGUGUGGGUUUAUUACAUACAUUACUUAUGGUGUUUCAUAGACAAUAUACAGAGAGAUUUCAACUGGAGAGAAGAGAGACACCCUUCGUUGCCUGGUGCUGUCUCUAGAGGGCUCCCUGUGGCCUGCAGGAACACACUCAACCAACAUCUCUCAAAAGAUAGAUAACACAAUUAACUGUGAGAACAUGCAUUUGACUGCAGCAUGAGGCAGCUAAAGACUGUUUGCUCAUGAAUUACCAUUGUCUGUUUUCUCUUUGGCACUUAAUUGUUCGUUGCUUGGAGAGAGAAAAAAAACGAAUCACAGAGAGAGAAAGCAGUAGCUGCUUUAACUCAAUUUGUAUUAUGUUUUAAUUGACUGUACGGUGGCUGGGCGUUUGGCACGAUGCAAUUAUGAAGAGUGGGCGAGGAACACACCACAUUACAGUGCAUUAAAGUCAAUUAAUUGGAAUCGCCAUCUUCAGCGAGGCAUUGUGUUCCUCCAGUGACAGGCAACUUCCCUUGUGUGCAUUUUACACACUUUUGCGCGGCGUCCUCUGAUAUAAAUGUUUUAUAAAGGCAAGCCAGUCCCAGGAGCGACAAAGGAUUCUAAUGCAGGAGAGAGAGGAGAGGGAUGGUGUGCAUGCAGGCAGGCAGAAGCACCAAUCUGUUAUCAUUGAAGGUCUGUUGAAUGCCUUUUGUACAGGAAUCUUUGAAUGUUCAUGUCACUCCGUCAGCGUCAGAAGAGUCUGCUUUGUGAAUGAAACAUAAUAAGAACCAAUGUGUUCAUUGCUGGUCUUUGUGUUUCUAUACAGAAGUAGUCGUUGUCAUGUAUUGAAGCACCGCCAACAGGUUGUGAAAUAAUUAGUUACUUUGAGUGUGUUUUUUCCUGCCUUGCUUUCGCAGGUGUAUGUUCAGAAACGUUGACAUUUUUAAGUUGAUGUGCUCUCUAUUGAUGACAUCUCUAUAGCCCCUGCCUGUGGGAAUAUACAUUAUGAUCCACAGAGCUCAGUACAAGUGAAGGCUAUGAGGC
ensembl:lncRNA